CAAGAUCUUAAUAGAAGCUAAUUCGAGCUCGGGGAGAGAAGAACUGUAAUAAAGAAGCUAAGAAGAAAAAAAAAAAACUACAUUGAAAAUGGAGUGUCGCAAAUAUUGGAAAAAUUCCGCUGUCUUUAAAAUUAAUCCAGACAGCGUUAAUAAUAAUGUAACUCCCAAAAAUUGUAUUUGUGAGCGUCCACGAAACAAUGUAAUUGUCUGCGAACAUUGUCAGAAAUCGUUUUUUGGCCGCAUAAGUCAAACAUGUCCCGAACAUCCUGAGGUGGCCUUUUUAAUGGAUGCCCGUAAUUGCGGCUUCUGUGGGGCCCCAGCCAAUUAUUUAAAAAUCGUUGGAAUCAAAAAGAACUAAGCAACGUACGAUGUGAUGGAGAGAAGAGGUACAUAUUUCAGUAAGAAGGGAGGAGGUGUAGGCAUCGUUGACGAUCCUACUAUGUGACAGCAAAUAAACAAAAACAUAUGGCCGCACCCAAUACGAUGGCCAAUCUAUACAUAAACAAUAUGUAGAAAACUUUGAAUCAGCAUAUUAAUGCAUUCGUUCGCUUCUACAUGAAUCUAUUGAAGCUUAUUCCGUUACACGAACUGCAAGGUUCACACGAAGUGAAAAAUAUCGAUAACUAAAUGUCUUUGUUAUUGUUUGAAGUUUUUUAUUUCAUUUUCAUUGUAUAACUUAAUCAAAAUAAAGUCUUGUGGAACAUAAUUAAGCACUUUUUAUUUUUAAAAUACAAAAACAUGCAUAACAAUGCAAUUUGACAGAGUUAUCCUUAAAAUAAAGUCAUUUUGAUUACGACUGUCGUGUAAACGAUUCUUUUUUUUAGUACUUCGAUUUCUCAUGUUGUACAACACUAACAAACGCCGUUAUUCAAACAAUCACGGUCAACGCUGCGUCAAAAAACUUUUUUUUUAAAUAACUCCAAAUAUUCUUUUUUCUGUUCUCGUCGAGGCAACCAUUUAGGUAAAUGUCAGAACAAUCAUUAACAGCGACGAAUCAAUUCUGGCAUUUCUGUGUAAUUCGUCAGCUAAGCAAAUUUCUACGAAAAAUUAAGUGAAUCGGCCAUGAACUGCUGCCUCCACUGCUCUGGUACUGGUUACCAGCCUAAACGCCCCAAGAGUGCUGUGCGCAAGCGCCUGGAUCGCUACUUGAAUUGUUCAAAAUGUUUGGGCCCCAAUGAUGAAACCAAUUCUGUGGAAGCCGAAGCCGACUGCAAUAAUAAUCAGAUAGUCCAUCCAAAUGCCAACAAGCCUGCAUGCAUUUGUUACCGUCCACAGCAUGCCUAUGAAUGUGACCGAUGUCAUCAAUUUUUCCAUGGACGUUUGUGUGAAAUUUGUCCACGACACAAGG